AUCCAGCUGACAAGUUCCAAAUAGAACAAAAUGCGCGUCAUGGAU
rnacentral:hammerhead_ribozyme from 1 species